AACUGAGCAAACCAGUGUGGGAAGGGAUUCCAGGGUCCGCACUGGGGCCACAGGUGGAACCCAGCUAUCCUUCUGCUGACUGUGCGCACCAGAAGCAGCAGCGCUGGAAACCGGAAUCCUGUGUCCUGGAGCAGAGCCAGCAGCAGCUGCUGGCAGUAACAGGAGCUUUCCCACACUUGACACCUUCACUGCCCUCAUCCUCCUAUGGGAAAGGAAAAUGUAACCACCGACCAUUUGGCUACCAGAUGGAAUGAGAUGAUAUGGACACAAGAAGUCACUAUGCAAUCACAGAAAUGACCAACAUGCAUCGAGCUAACUGCGGAG